AAUGGGUUCCCAUGUGGCUGUUAGGUGAGAUGUGAACCAUGACAGGUAGUUCAAUCUACCCAGGAGACCACAAACCUCUCUUUCCAUUCUCGGUUCAGGCGUUUCUCUUAUUGUUCUUUCUUUUUUCUUUUUUCUUUUUUUUUUUUUUUUUUUUUUUUUGCAGGAUGAACCUCGAUUCCUCCCUUAUAAUGAACCCCCAACAGCUUACCG
rnacentral:lncRNA from 1 species